CAGGACGAACGCUGGCGGCGUGCCUAACACAUGCAAGUCGAGCGAGGAGAUCCUCGGGAUGAUCCUAGCGGCGGACGGGUGAGUAACACGUGGGCAACCUGCCUCAUAGAGAGGAAUAGCCUUCCGAAAGGGAGAUUAAUACCUCAUAACAUUGCAGUUUCGCAUGGAACAGCAAUUAAAGGAGUAAUCCGCUAUGAGAUGGGCCCGCGGCGCAUUAGCUAGUUGGUGAGGUAACGGCUCACCAAGGCGACGAUGCGUAGCCGACCUGAGAGGGUGAUCGGCCACAUUGGGACUGAGACACGGCCCAGACUCCUACGGGAGGCAGCAGUGGGGAAUAUUGCACAAUGGGGGAAACCCUGAUGCAGCAACGCCGCGUGAGUGAUGACGGCCUUCGGGUUGUAAAGCUCUGUCUUCAGGGACGAUAAUGACGGUACCUGAGGAGGAAGCCACGGCUAACUACGUGCCAGCCGCCGC
rnacentral:rRNA from 1 species